rnacentral:lncRNA from 1 species
GCUUCCGAAACAGCAGAGAUUCGUCAUUUCAAUAGGACGGUGUUUGAGAUAGAUGAAGUCGAGAGACAAGGUACGAGGCAAGAACCCGAUAAACACGAAGAGCUAAUGAUGUUACAUGACAUUAAGGAGAAACUAAAUUUAGAACCUUUAAAGCAUUUGAAAGUUUGUCCAAUGACUAGUGAUUCAGAAACAGAAGAGAUUCGUCGUGUCAAUAGGAGCACGUUUAAGAAAACUGAAGUUGAGAGACAAGGUACGAGGCAAGAACCCAACAGACACAAAGAGCUAAUGUUGUUACAUGACAGGAAGGAGCAACUAAAUUUAGUACCUAUAAAGCAUUUGAAAAAUUGUCCAAUGACUCAUGCUUCGGAAACAGCAGAGAUUCGUCAUGUCAAUAAGAAGUUUGAGAUAGCUGAAGUCGAGAGACAUGAUACGAGGCAAGAACCCGAGAGAAACAAAGAGUUAAUGUUGCUACAUGACAGGAAGGAGCAACUAAAUAUAGUACCUAUAAGGCAUUUGAAUAAUUGUCCAAUGACUAAUGCUUCAGAAACAGCAGAGAUUCAUCGUGUCAAUAAGAAGUUUGAGAUAGCUGAAGUCGAGAGAGAUGGUACGAGGAAAGUCGAGAGACAUGGUACGAGGCAAGAGACAGAGAGA